rnacentral:rRNA from 1 species
UACGUAGGGUGCAAGCGUUAAUCGGAAUUACUGGGCGUAAAGCGUGCGCAGGCGGUUAUGCAAGGCAGAUGUGAAAUCCCCGGGCUCAACCUGGGAACUGCAUUUGUGACUGCAUAGCUAGAGUACGGUAGAGGGGGAUGGAAUUCCGCGUGUAGCAGUGAAAUGCGUAGAUAUGCGGAGGAACACCGAUGGCGAAGGCAGCACUCUGGGACGGUACUGACGCUGAGACGCGAAAGCGUGGGGAGCAAACAGG